rnacentral:rRNA from 1 species
GUCUUGNNNCCUUUGACCNCUCGAGAGAUCGAGCUUUCCCUUCGGGGACAAAGUGACAGGUGGUGCAUGGUUGUCGUCAGCUCGUGUCGUGAGAUGUUGGGUUAAGUCCCGCAACGAGCGCAACCCUUAUUACUAGUUGCCAGCAUUCAGUUGGGCACUCUAGUGAGACUGCCGGUGACAAACCGGAGGAAGGUGGGGAUGACGUCAAAUCAUCAUGCCCCUUAUGACCUGGGCUACACACGUGCUACAAUGGAUGGUACAACGAGUCGCGAAGUCGUGAGGCCAAGCUAAUCUCUUAAAGCCAUUCUCAGUUCGGAUUGUAGGCUGCAACUCGCCUACAUGAAGCCGGAAUCGCUAGUAAUCGCGGAUCAGAACGCCGCGGUGAAUACGUUCCCG